rnacentral:rRNA from 1 species
GAUGAACGCUGGCGGCGUGCCUAAUACAUGCAAGUCGAGCGAAGCGGGGACGGGUGAGUAACACGUGGAUAACCUCCUAUAAGACGGGGGAAACUUCGGGGAACCGGAAGUAAACCGGCAACUUAUAGCUGGAUCCGAGCUGCAUUAGCUAGGUGGUAAGGUAACGGCUGACCAAGGCAACGAUGCAUAGCCGACCUGAGAGGGUGAUCGGCCACACUGGAACGGUGACACGGUCCAGACUCCUACGGGAGGCAGCAGUAGGGAAUAUUGCGCAAUGGGCGAAAGCCUGAGGGAGCAACGCCGCGUGAGUGAUGAAGGUCUUCGGGUCGUAAAGCACUGUUAUUAGGGAAGCGUUACCGAAUCAGAAAGCCACGGCUAACUCCGUGCCAGCAGCCGCGGUAAUAC